UGGGGCGGUUUUUAUAAAAAAAUUAACUGUAAGUUAAAUUAAAAUAUAAAUAUAUAGUUUAAU
rnacentral:rRNA from 1 species